GAUGAACGCUGGCGGUCUGCUUAACACAUGCAAGUCGAGCGGUAAUGUUAUUUUUGAUUUCUUCGGAAUGAUUAAAUAUUGUGAGAGCGGCGAACGGGUGAGUAACACGUUGGUAUCUGCCCCCAAGUCAGGGAUAGCCAUUGGAAACGAUGAUUAAUACCGGAUAGUCUCUUCGGAGUAAAAAUUUAUUGCUUGUGGAGGAGCCUGCGUUCUAUCAGCUUGUUGGUAGUGUAAAAGACUACCAAGGCUAUGACGGAUACCUGGUCUGAGAGGAUGAUCAGGCACAAUGGAACUGAGACACGGUCCAUACUCCUACGGGAGGCAGCAGUGAGGAAUCUUCCACAAUGGG
rnacentral:rRNA from 1 species